GCGGCGGGCGAAAGAACGUUGAAUGCACCAGUUCCUCACGGAUCACUGAAGUUAAGCAACGUUGCUCGUGGUUAGUACCUGGAUGGGUGACCCACUCCACUCAGGCUGGGUGAA
rnacentral:rRNA from 1 species